GACGAACGCUGGCGGCGUGCUUAACACAUGCAAGUCGAACGGUGAAGCUCCAGCUUGCUGGAGUGGAUCAGUGGCGAACGGGUGAGUAACACGUGAGCAACCUGCCCCUGACUCUGGAAUAAGCGCUGGAAACGGCAUCUAAUACUGGAUACGAGAAGGGUCCGCAUGGGCACUUUCUGGAAAGUUUUUCGGUUGGGGAUGGGCUCGCGGCCUAUCAGCUUGUUGGUGAGGUAAUGGCUCACCAAGGCGACGACGGGUAGCCGGCCUGAGAGGGCGACCGGCCACACUGGGACUGAGACACGGCCCAGACUCCUACGGGAGGCAGCAGUGGGGAAUAUUGCACAAUGGGCGAAAGCCUGAUGCAGCGACGCCGCGUGAGGGAUGACGGCCUUCGGGUUGUAAACCUCUUUCAGCAGGGAAGAAGCGAAAGUGACGGUACCUGCAGAAGAAGCACCGGCUAACUACGUG
rnacentral:rRNA from 1 species